GUCCGUGAUUAUACAGAUGUGGAAACGCCUUGCUCCAUCCCGAACCAAGAAGCUAAGCACAUCGUGGGUGAUGAUACUACGCC
rnacentral:rRNA from 1 species